rnacentral:rRNA from 1 species
AAUCGUACCCCAAACCGACACAGGUGAUCAGGUAGAGAAUACCAAGGCGCUUGAGAGAACUCGGGUGAAGGAACUAGGCAAAAUGGUACCGUAACUUCGGGAGAAGGUACGCUCCUAGCGGUGAUGAGACUUGCUCUCUAAGCUGCCGGGAGUCGCAGAUACCAGGUGGCUGCAACUGUUUAUUAAAAACACAGCACUGUGCAAAAUCGAAAGAUGACGUAUACGGUGUGACGCCUGCCCGGUGCCGGAAGGUUAAUUGAUGGGGUUAGACUUCGGUCGAAGCUCUUGAUCGAAGCCCCGGUAAACGGCGGCCGUAACUAUAACGGUCCUAAGGUAGCGAAAUUCCUUGUCGGGUAAGUUCCGACCUGCACGAAUGGCGUAAUGAUGGCCACGCUGUCUCCACCCGAGACUCAGUGAAAUUGAAAUCGCAGUGAAGAUGCUGUGUACCCGCGGCUAGACGGAAAGACCCCGUGAACCUUUACUACAGCUUGGCACUGAACAUUGACCCUACAUGUGUAGGAUAGGUGGGAGGCUUUGAAGCGCAGUCGCUAGAUUGCGUGGAGCCGUCCUUGAAAUACCACCCUUGUAGUGUUGAUGUUCUAACGUCGCCCCCUUAUCGGGGGUGCGGACAGUGCCUGGUGGGUAGUUUGACUGGGGCGGUCUCCUCCCAAAGAGUAACGGAGGAGCACGAAGGUGGGCUAAUCACGGUCGGACAUCGUGAGGUUAGUGCAAUGGCAUAAGCCCGCUUGACUGCGAGACUGACAAGUCGAGCAGGUGCGAAAGCAGGUCAUAGUGAUCCGGUGGUUCUGAAUGGAAGGGCCAUCGCUCAACGGAUAAAAGGUACUCCGGGGAUAACAGGCUGAUACCGCCCAAGAGUUCAUAUCGACGGCGGUGUUUGGCACCUCGAUGUCGGCUCAUCACAUCCUGGGGCUGAAGUCGGUCCCAAGGGUAUGGCUGUUCGCCAUUUAAAGUGGUACGCGAGCUGGGUUUAGAACGUCGUGAGACAGUUCGGUCCCUAUCUGCCGUGGGCGUUGGAUGAUUGAGAGGGGCUGCUCCUAGUACGAGAGGACCGGAGUGGACGAACCUCUGGUGUUCGGGUUGUGUCGCCAGACGCAUUGCCCGGUAGCUAAGUUCGGAAUCGAUAACCGCUGAAAGCAUCUAAGCGGGAAGCGAGCCUCAAGAUGAGUCAUCCCUAGAGCU